UAGAAUGCGACCUGCUCUGGUGAGCAAGAUGCUUGAAAAGGGAAUCAGGUGUAAAACCUGAACUGUACCCGCAACUGUGAAACGCGCUGCAGCUAAUACCACUGUAUCAGUCUUGAUUACGGGAAGGUGGUUGUGGGUUAUCGCGUUAAGUCAGGAGACCUGCCAGACACUGAACGCUCUU
rnacentral:ncRNA from 2 species